CGGCGAGUGAAGCGGCAACAGCUCAAAUUUGAAAUCUGGCCCUUUCAGGGUCCGAGUUGUAAUUUGCAGAGGGCGCUUUGGCAUCGGCUGCAGCCUAAGUUCCUUGGAACAGGACGUCGCAGAGGGUGAGAAUCCCGUAUGUGGCCGCCAGCCUUUGCCGUGUAAAGCCCCUUCGACGAGUCGAGUUGUUUGGGAAUGCAGCUCUAAAUGGGAGGUAAAUUUCUCCUAAAGCUAAAUACCGGCCAGAGACCGAUAGCGCACAAGUAGAGUGAUCGAAAGAUGAAAAGCACUUUGGAAAGAGAGUCAAAAAGCACGUGAAAUUGUUGAAAGGGAAGCGCUUGCAGCCAGACGUGUCUGCGGUUGUUCAUCCGGGCUUCUGCCCGGUGCACUCCUCCGCAGACAGGCCAGCAUCAGUUUCGGUGGCCGGACAAAUGCCUGCUAAACGUACCUCCCCCGGGAGGACUUAUAGGGUAGGCGGCAUACGGCCAGCCUGGACUGAGGUCCGCGCUUCGGCGAGGAUGCUGGCGUAAUGGUGGCAAGCGGCCCGUCUUGAAACACGGACCAAGGAGUCUAACAUCUAUGCGAGUGUUUGGGUGUCAAGCCCGAGCGCGCAAUGAAAGUGAACGGAGGUGAGAUCCCUUGCGGGUGCAUCAUCGACCGAUCCUGAUGUCUUCGGAUGGAUUUGAGUAAGAGCAUAGCUGUUGGGACCCGAAAGAUGGUGAACUAAGCUUGAAUAGGGUGAAGCCAGAGGAAACUCUGGUGGAGGCUCGCAGCGGUUCUGACGUGCAAAUCGAUCGUCAAAUUUGGGCUUAGGGG
rnacentral:rRNA from 1 species